rnacentral:lncRNA from 1 species
GGGACUGUGAUGGUAAUUUGAGCAAUAAGAUGGUUAAAUUUGGUAAAUUGAAUUGACGGUGUCGAUAAAAUGGGAUUAUGAUGGUACUUUGACCCAAUGUGAUGGUUAAAUUUGGUAAAUUGAAUUGACGGUAUAACAUAUGGAUUGUAUUGUGUCUCGGUGACCCUACCAGAAAUUAUGAUAUUUGAACCUAUUCGGUU